AUUGAACGCUGGCGGCAUGCCUUACACAUGCAAGUCGAACGGCAGCACGGGAGCAAUCCUGGUGGCGAGUGGCGAACGGGUGAGUAAUAUAUCGGAACGUACCUUUCAGUGGGGGAUAACGUAGCGAAAGUUACGCUAAUACCGCAUAUUCUGUGAGCAGGAAAGCAGGGGAUCGCAAGACCUUGCGCUGAUUGAGCGGCCGAUAUCAGAUUAGCUAGUUGGUGAGGUAAAGGCUCACCAAGGCGACGAUCUGUAGCGGGUCUGAGAGGAUGAUCCGCCACACUGGAACUGAGACACGGUCCAGACUCCUACGGGAGGCAGCAGUGGGGAAUUUUGGACAAUGGGGGCAACCCUGAUCCAGCCAUGCCGCGUGAGUGAAGAAGGCCU
rnacentral:rRNA from 1 species